AGAGUUUGAUCAUGGCUCAGAAUCAACGCUGGCGGCGUGCCUAACACAUGCAAGUCGAACGAGAAAGUGGAGCAAUCCAUGAGUAAAGUGGCGACCGGGUGAGUAACACGUGACUAACCUACCUUCGAGUGGGGGAUAACAUCGGGAAACCGAUGCUAAUACCGCAUAACAUCGCAAGAUCAAAGCAGCAAUGCGCUGGAAGAGGGGGUCGCGGCUGAUUAGCUAGUUGGCGGGGUAACGGCCCACCAAGGCGAAGAUCGGUAUCCGGCCUGAGAGGGCGCACGGACACACUGGAACUGAAACACGGUCCAGACUCCUACGGGAGGCAGCAGUGGGGAAUUUUGCGCAAUGGGGGAAACCCCGACGCAGCAACGCCGCGUGGAGGAUGAAGCCCCUUGGGGCGUAAACUCCUUUCGACCAAGACGAUAAUGACGGUACUGGUGGAAGAAGCACCGGCUAACUCUGUGCCAGCAGCCGCGGUAAUACAGAGGGUGCGAGCGUUGUUCGGAAUUAUUGGGCGUAAAGGGUGCGUAGGCGGUGCCACAAGUCACCUGUGAAAUCCCCGGGCUUAACUCGGGGCCUGCAGGCGAAACUGUGGUGCUGGAGUAUGGGAGAGGUGCGUGGAAUUCCCGGUGUAGCGGUGAAAUGCGUAGAUAUCGGGAGGAACACCUGUGGCGAAAGCGGCGCACUGGACCAUAACUGACGCUGAUGCACGAAAGCUAGGGGAGCAAACAGGAUUAGAUACCCUGGUAGUCCUAGCCCUAAACGAUGAUUGCUUGGUGUAGCAGGUACCCAAUCCUGCUGUGCCGCAGCUAACGCGAUAAGCAAUCCGCCUGGGGAGUACGGUCGCAAGGCUGAAACUCAAGGAAUUGACGGGGCCCGCACAAGCGGUGGAGCAUGUGGUUCAAUUCGACGCAACGCGAAGAACCUUACCUGGGCUCGAAGCGCAGUGGACCGGGG
rnacentral:rRNA from 1 species